rnacentral:siRNA from 1 species
CUUGUAAGCUCCUUCUGCACCU